UCCCUACGGGAGGCAGCAGUAGGGGAUAUUGCUCAAUGGGGGAAACCCUGAAGCAGCAACGCCGCGUGGAGGAUGAAGGUUUUCGGAUUGUAAACUCCUUUUGUUAGAGAAGAUAAUGACGGUAUCUAACGAAUAAGCACCGGCUAACUCCGUGCCAGCAGCCGCGGUAAUACGGAGGGUGCAAGCGUUACUCGGAAUCACUGGGCGUAAAGAGCGCGUAGGCGGGAUAGCAAGUCAGAUGUGAAAUCCUAUGGCUUAACCAUAGAACUGCAUUUGAAACUGUUGAGCUUGAGUGAAGUAGAGGG
rnacentral:rRNA from 1 species